GAUGAACGCUGGCGGCGUGCCUAAUACAUGCAAGUCGAACGAGUUCUCGUUGAUGAUCGGUGCUUGCACCGAGAUUCAACAUAGAACGAGUGGCGGACGGGUGAGUAACACGUGGGUAACCUGCCCUUAAGUGGGGGAUAACAUUUGGAAACAGAUGCUAAUACCGCAUAGAUCCAAGAACCGCAUGGUUCUUGGCUGAAAGAUGGCGUAAGCUAUCGCUUUUGGAUGGACCCGCGGCGUAUUAGCUAGUUGGUGAGGUAAUGGCUCACCAAGGCGAUGAUACGUAGCCGAACUGAGAGGUUGAUCGGCCACAUUGGGACUGAGACACGGCCCAAACUCCUACGGGAGGCAGCAGUAGGGAAUCUUCCACAAUGGACGCAAGUCUGAUGGAGCAACGCCGCGUGAGUGAAGAAGGCUUUCGGGUCGUAAAACUCUGUUGUUGGAGAAGAAUGGUCGGCAGAGUAACUGUUGUCGGCGUGACGGUAUCCAACCAGAAAGCCACGGCUAACUACGUGCCAGCAGCCGCGGUAAUACGUAGGUGGCAAGCGUUAUCCGGAUUUAUUGGGCGUAAAGCGAGCGCAGGCGGUUUUUUAAGUCUGAUGUGAAAGCCCUCGGCUUAACCGAGGAAGCGCAUCGGAAACUGGGAAACUUGAGUGCAGAAGAGGACAGUGGAACUCCAUGUGUAGCGGUGAAAUGCGUAGAUAUAUGGAAGAACACCAGUGGCGAAGGCGGCUGUCUGGUCUGUAACUGACGCUGAGGCUCGAAAGCAUGGGUAGCGAACAGGAUUAGAUACCCUGGUAGUCCAUGCCGUAAACGAUGAAUGCUAGGUGUUGGAGGGUUUCCGCCCUUCAGUGCCGCAGCUAACGCAUUAAGCAUUCCGCCUGGGGAGUACGACCGCAAGGUUGAAACUCAAAGGAAUUGACGGGGGCCCGCACAAGCGGUGGAGCAUGUGGUUUAAUUCGAAGCAACGCGAAGAACCUUACCAGGUCUUGACAUCUUUUGAUCACCUGAGAGAUCAGGUUUCCCCUUCGGGGGCAAAAUGACAGGUGGUGCAUGGUUGUCGUCAGCUCGUGUCGUGAGAUGUUGGGUUAAGUCCCGCAACGAGCGCAACCCUUAUGACUAGUUGCCAGCAUUUAGUUGGGCACUCUAGUAAGACUGCCGAUGACAAACCGGAGGAAGGUGGGGAUGACGUCAAAUCAUCAUGCCCCUUAUGACCUGGGCUACACACGUGCUACAAUGGAUGGUACAACGAGUUGCGAGACCGCGAGGUCAAGCUAAUCUCUUAAAGCCAUUCUCAGUUCGGACUGUAGGCUGCAACUCGCCUACACGAAGUCGGAAUCGCUAGUAAUCGCGGAUCAGCACGCCGCGGUGAAUACGUUCCCGGGCCUUGUACACACCGCCCGUCACACCAUGAGAGUUUGUAACACCCGAAGCCGGUGGCGUAACCCUUUUAGGGAGCGAGCCGUCUAAGGUGGGACAAAUGAUUAGGGUG
rnacentral:rRNA from 1 species